GGAUUGGUUUAAUCAUUAGUUUCUGCUGGUUGUUUGUGUUUUUAUUGAGAGAGUUGCUGAAUCGUUCAUGCAAAGUAUUUGUUUAAAAUAAUUCCAUGCUGUCAGAAGAUGCUUAUUUGUUCAUUUGUUCGCAAACUAGUCUUGUUCUGAUUUUAAACGCCGACUCGUUCGCGUUCGUUUAGUAGAUCCAACCAAUGAAAUUCUUCUUCACGACCCGCGCUCGACAAGUAUUGGCUCGUAAGCGAAAGACGAGCUAAAGCUAGCGCGAGAAGAUAAAGCUAGCGCGUGAAAACGAACGCUCGCUUUCAUUGUUUGUUUUGAAACGCUCGCAUAGCCGCGGUUCUCAGUUCUGUUUCAGCACAUUUAGAACAUUGAGCUUCUAUCAAAGACACUGAAUCAAGUGUGUUACAUAGCCAGCGUGAGUAGUGUUGAGAAUCACUGCUUUCUAAACCCUAGCGCUCAUUUAUUAAGAGAAAGCCUCUCUUAGUGGAACUCUUGUUUAUAAACCAAACCCAUAUGCGACGUCUAACAGAAGUAAUUUAAAAGCUUAUGAACUGAAUCACCAGUGGUGCUCAAGUAUGAAAUAUUAAGUGCGAGUGAAACAUCAUAAUUUGUACAAACAUUCACAAGAUGUGAAAAGCCAUCUGCGGGUCGACAGCAAGAAGCAACUUUACACGUGUGAACUGUAAAAAAUGGGAUUACAGACACAAAUGGAAUGCACAGACUCCAGGAGUACCUGACAAAUGGUGAUGAUAAAGGUCUCAUGUGUUGUUAGAUGAGAGGGAGGAGCCAGUAAAGCGAGGUGUUCUUAUACAUCCAUCUCCACCGUGACACGGAGAACGGACGGAUAGAAGCCCGAAAGCUCUUUGUCGUAGUUUGUGCUAUCUAGUGACAACGUUCAGACCGGGAGAUCUGGGUCAAUAUUUGCUUCCAUAUUUACAUGAACCUGGCCUGGGUGUGACUGCACCUCUUGCCUGUUGUUUUAGUUUGUUGGUUUAAUAAGAUGCCUGUUUGACAUUCACACAAUGCACAUUGUGUUUCCUUGUGUGUAAAUUGUGAAACGCCUUGCGUUUUGUGUUCUGAUUUGUAUGCCGCCGAUUCCCGAGUUGGAUAAAACAAGUUACGUUUCCAUUUUGGUAGAAACAAGAGAUGGUCUCUAAAAUGUUCAUACUAAAUCAAAGGGAUAGUUCGCUCAAAAACAAAAUAAAUUCUGUAAUGAAUUACUCGCCUUCAUAUCGUUCCAAACCUGCGAGACCUUCACAGGGUUCAUCUUAAGAUUCAUCUUCGUAACUCAGAUUGAGAACAGAUAAGGCAUAUCGCAAGUAUCUCAUAUAGGAGCAGUAGUAUUUUUGAUUUAAACAGGUAUGCGGAUGAUGGCUUAGAAAAAUUCCCAAAGUGGUCAGUAACUCAAGCUUCUUCUGAACGCACCGCACACAAAUACAUUCGGUCUCUCGAGCCUCCGCUAUUGUUGUGGAUUUGGACAAAUAUCUCAGAGGCAGAAUGCAUUUGCAGCACAAAUCAAACAGACACAGAGCAGGCUGCAGUCAUUUCCCAUCAUCAGCGGAUUUAUUGAAGGGAACGUUUCCAGGGCCCCGUUGGACAGGAAUGAGGGCCAGAUCAGAGCAGCUCCACAUCUCAAUGACCUCAUAUGGUUUUCUAUAGAUUCAGACCUUCUUCUGUGGCCAGCAAUUAAAAAAGACAGCUGGUUCUCCUCUAACAGAGCAUUUGUCUGGCAGUGAACACACAUGUGUAUCAUCGGCAGGCUUCUUCAUAAUAAAAGUGCUGAAAGAGCCAAAACCUAAGAAACGAGUCCCUCACAAGAUUAGGCGUGUGGUUUUAACAUGUUUCUGCCAGAAAGAACACACUCCCCAGCUUACUAAAAUAUGUUUUGCUAGCAUUCUCAUGACGUUAUGAAUAUGUUGUUCAUGAUUUUAAAAUUUUUCAAAAUGUCCAGUUUUUUUAAAUGUAAAAAAAAAUCUUGCUACAUUUUACUUUACUUUUUAAUGUUGUC